rnacentral:rRNA from 1 species
UACAGGGGGUGCAACCGUUGCUCGGAAUCAUUGGGCGUAAAGCGCACGUAGGCGGUUCGUUAUGUCGGAUGUGAAAGCCCUUGGCUUAACCGAGGAAGUGCAUCCGAAACUGGCGAGCUAGAGUACGAAAGAGGAUCGCGGAAUUCCCGGUGUAGAGGUGAAAUUCGUAGAUAUCGGGAGGAACACCGGUGGCGAAGGCGGCGAUCUGGGAAGAUACUGACGCUGAGGUGCGAAAGCGUGGGGAGCAAACAGG